UUUCUCUUCAGCCUUCACCUGAAUCACCUCAGUCGCCUCCACCACCAGUAGACAGCAGACCACCACCACCUCCAUCAAGAGCACCACCACCUCUAUGGCUCUAUCUAGUUUUGGUUGAGUUAAGGGGAGGAACUCAAGGAAGGAGUCUGAAAGAUUUCUUAAGGAAGGAGUCUGAUUACAGUUGGCAUUGAUCCAUGAACAGUUGGUUCGUCUUAGAGCUAUAGGAAACCGAGAUCCUCAUAUUUCUAGGAUGGCAGAAAUAAUGUUUCGGAAGUAUAACGCAUAUUGGGG